GUGAUUUUUAUCUGCAUUGGAUCUACUUUAAUAAACCCCACAGCCUGAAUAGCAGCUACUAGGGUAGUGCCAGUGGAUGUAUAUGGAGACUGGGCUGGAAUGGCUGAGUGUGUGGGUGCGCAGCUGGGAGCAGCCAUGGCAGUAAGUAGACAGCCAGUAACUUCUGAUAAAAGGGAGUAUCUGAAAACUGAAAGGCCCCAUAGGAAUGCCAACAACAUUUCAGAAGUUUUCAACCCAAAUUAAAGACGAAAAAAGUGAAGUAGAUGAUGCAAUAAAGAGUUGGCAAAUUCCCAGCUGGGCGCGGUGGCUCACGCCUGUAAUCCCAGCACUUUGGAAGGCCAAGGCGGGCGGAUCACGAGCAUGGUCUAUAGAAGAAGAAAGAAUUCAUCAUCAUUUCUAGGAAUAUCCCCAAUCAUAAUCCUAAGACUCCAGCUCAAAACAAUAACUGGCAACUCUUCAAUAAUUAAUUAAAGGAAGGCACACCCUC
rnacentral:lncRNA from 1 species